rnacentral:rRNA from 1 species
UACAGAGGUCCCAAGCGUUGUUCGGAUUCAUUGGGCGUAAAGGGUGCGUAGGCGGCGCGGUAAGUCGGGUGUGAAAUCUCGGGGCUUAACUCCGAAACUGCAUUCGAUACUGCCGUGCUUGAGGACUGGAGAGGAGACUGGAAUUUACGGUGUAGCGGUGAAAUGCGUAGAUAUCGAGAGGAACACCUGCGGCGAAGGCGGGUAGCUGGGCCGACACUGACGCUGAGGCGCGAAAGCCAGGGGAGCGAACGGG